rnacentral:ncRNA from 1 species
CUCAGUGUUCAAGUUUACACUGGGUUUUUGGUUGAUCUAGAUAGCAGGAUUGUGGUCAUAAAUGUCAGAAGCCGUUAAUUAAUGUGUGAAAACUCGUCUACUGAAUCAACCAGCCCUGAAAAUUGAUGGUACUCGAACGUUGG